rnacentral:piRNA from 1 species
CUCAAAGCUCAUAGCUACCCUG